GCGGAUGGCCGGAUGACCGCGGGUUUUGGCCCGAGGAAAGUCCGGACUCCAUAAGGUAUCGGUGCCGGGUAACGCCCGGCGGGGGCAACCCCAGGGACAGCGCCACAGAGAACAGACCGCCCGCGUCCGCGCGGGUAAGGGUGAAACGGUGGGGUAAGAGCCCACCGGGGGGCUGGCAACAGCGCCCGCAUGGCAAGCCCCACCGGGAGCAAUGCCGAAUAGGGACCACGCGCCUUUGGGCAGGGCGGCCUUGCCCCAGUGGUCCGGGUUGGCAGCUUGACGCCCGCAGCAAUGCGGUGCGCAGAGGAAUGGUCAUCACCGGGGGCGACCUCGGGACAGAAUCCGGCUUACAGGCCGUCCGCGCGA
rnacentral:RNase_P_RNA from 1 species